rnacentral:rRNA from 1 species
GACGAACGCUGGCGGCGUGCCUAAUACAUGCAAGUCGAACGCACAGUUUAUACCGUAGCUUGCUACACCAUAGACUGUGAGUUGCGAACGGGUGAGUAACGCGUAGGUAACCUGCCUGGUAGCGGGGGAUAACUAUUGGAAACGAUAGCUAAUACCGCAUAAUAUUGAUUAUUGCAUGAUAAUUGAUUGAAAGAUGCUAUUGCAUCACUACCAGAUGGACCUGCGUUGUAUUAGCUAGUAGGUGAGGUAACGGCUCACCUAGGCGACGAUACAUAGCCGACCUGAGAGGGUGAUCGGCCACACUGGGACUGAGACACGGCCCAGACUCCUACGGGAGGCAGCAGUAGGGAAUCUUCGGCAAUGGACGAAAGUCUGACCGAGCAACGCCGCGUGAGUGAAGAAGGUUUUCGGAUCGUAAAGCUCUGUUGUAAGAGAAGAACGGGUGUGAGAGUGGAAAGUUCACACUGUGACGGGAUCUUACCAGAAAGGGACGGCUAACUACGU